rnacentral:lncRNA from 1 species
AGAUAGUGCUGAAGAUGCACUGACUUUUUUUUAGUCCUAAAAAUAGAAACUCCUCCUUUAAAGCUGUGCAUACUAUGCUUAUCUUUCCAAUAGAGUGGGGUUCCUUCAGAUAUCCUAUAGGAUUCUGCCUCUGGUUUUGUAUAGGCCUUGGCUAGAAAGAGUCAAUGUUUCUGAGCUCUCAAACCAGUUGCUCUCAGAAGAUAGGAAUACCCCAAGGUUCCUGGCAUUUUUCCUAUUUCAUUUUUGUUCAGACUGAUAUUUUGCCAAGAGCACAAUGACUGAGGAAUGUAGCCAUCAUUUGCAGGGUAGUGAUUGGUUCCCAGCCUGGCUUCCACACAGGACAGGAAGGGAAAGCAUCCCUGAGCUCUCCUCAGUAUUUCCGGAUGUAAUGAAAGAGGACAUCUUUCUACACAAAGUCAGCCCCAACUUUUGGCUUGGUCACAGGAGUUCUGAUAGUACUGUUUGGUGCACUCAUGGGAAAUUGAACCAGUCGUAGCCACAGUCUUUCAGAGCCUGGGCUCUGGGGAGUGGAAGUGAAAAAUAAAGAUGUGGCUUGUUGGAUUGUGAUCCCCAGCUUGCUUUCCUUCUGUCAACUCUGUCAGGUUUGUGUUCAUAGCAACUAGACUGAAUAUGCAAAAGGCUUAGAUCCAAGCAAAUCUAUAAUCUAUGCAUAUUUGCAUGGGCUUGGUAAUAUCAUGUACACAAAACA